rnacentral:rRNA from 1 species
UACGGAGGGGGCUAGCGUUGUUCGGAAUUACUGGGCGUAAAGCGCACGUAGGCGGCUUUGUAAGUUAGAGGUGAAAGCCCGGGGCUCAACUCCGGAAUUGCCUUUAAAACUGCAUCGCUCGAAUUGUGGAGAGGUAAGUGGAAUUCCGAGUGUAGAGGUGAAAUUCGUAGAUAUUCGGAAGAACACCAGUGGCGAAGGCGACUUACUGGACACAUAUUGACGCUGAGGUGCGAAAGCGUGGGGAGCAAACAGG